ensembl:lncRNA
AUUGCCCUGUGGGACUCACUUGUGCUAGUUCAGUCAGGUUUGGGAAGUGCUAGAUGAUGGAGGAUAUGAAAAUGCAGAGAAUCUGGGUUCCGACAUAAAGGAAACACACACUCCCUCUCUAAUCUCUGACAGAGGUAAGGCUGAACAAGACACAGGCAAACCCUCCAGAGGAGUUUAAUGUGGAAACUAUGUGACAAACAGGGCUUCAACUUGGGUUUGUAACAUUGUAGCGAAGACCCCAAUCAACAAGGUAACAGCUGGUCUGCAAGCAUAAUUUUAAUAAGAAACUCCUUUCUGAUGCAUAAUUUUCUGAAAUAUUGAAAAUCCUUCUGGAUAUCAAAAUUUGUAUCUUUCAUGAUCUUUACAUGAAGAGACAGAUAAAUUUACUUAAAAGAAUUUUGAGGUUGCAGGAGUUCUCACCUCUUAUUCUCUCUCUCAUCAUUAAUUGCUUCUGUGACUAAAGAAGUGUGGUGAGAUGCACCACUUCCCAG